rnacentral:rRNA from 1 species
CCUACGGGAGGCAGCAGUGGGGAAUAUUGCACAAUGGGGGAAACCCUGAUGCAGCGACGCCGCGUGAGUGAAGAAGUAAUUCGUUAUGUAAAGCUCUAUCAGCAGGGAAGAAAAUGACGGUACCUGAGUAAGAAGCCCCGGCUAACUACGUGCCAGCAGCCGCGGUAAUACGUAGGGGGCAAGCGUUAUCCGGAUUUACUGGGUGGAAAGGGAGCGUAGACGGCAGUGCAAGUCUGGAGUGAAAGGCGGGGGCUCAACCCUCGGACUGCUCUGGAAACUGUACGGCUGGAGUGCAGGAGAGGUAAGUGGAAUUCCUAGUGUAGCGGUGAAAUGCGUAGAUAUUAGGAGGAACACCAGUGGCGAAGGCGGCUUACUGGACUGUAACUGACGUUGAGGCUCGAAAGCGUGGGGAGCAAACAGGAUUAGAUACCCUUGUAGUC